rnacentral:lncRNA from 10 species
AGCCUCUCAAAGUGCUGGCAUUCCAGGUGUGAGCCACCACGCCCAGCAAUUCAGUAAAGUUUAGAUUUACUUUGUGAGAAAACACAUAGCUAAAGCAAACAUUCGUGCAGGGCCUACUUCGUGCCAGGUGUGGUUUUAGGACCUUUAUACUAUGAUUUUAUUUCAACAUUUUUAGCAUCAGCAAUCUCAUUCUACUAGGUCAUGGCAAAACUGGACUAAGAGCUGUGGCAUUUUUCUCUGAAUCCCACACUGGGAAGCAAUCAGAUUGGAUUGUUCUUUUCUUAGGAAAAGAAAGCAAAAACUUACCCCCCCAUAAGGCACCACUGCCUAAAACCAUCUGUAAGCAUUUCUGUCAUUUCCUUGGAGGCUUGAGACUCACCUGUGAGAGGGAAAGCAUCAACCUCUCCCACAUACCCUUAGUUGCCCUAAACGAUUCACCCCUGUGUUCCACCUUUAGUAAAAGAAAAGCACGGUGAUUACCAGAAUUCAGUGCAGAGCCAUCCCUUAACAAGCAAUGGUUAAGAAACAAGGGAGGGAAGGAAGAAAGGAAGAAAGGAAGGAAGGAAGGAAGGAAGGUAGGUGGGGGGGGGGAGGGAGAGAGAGAAGGAAGAAAGGAAGGAGGGAAGGGAGGGAGGGAAGGAAGGAAAGAAGGAAAUGGAAGGAAGGAAGGAGAGAGGGAGGAAGGAAGGAAGAAAGGAAGGAAGGAAGGAGGGAGGGAGUGAUGAAGGAAGGAAGGAAGAAAGAAAGAGGGUGGGAGGGAGGGAGAGAAUGAAGAAGGAAGGAAGGAAGGCAGGGAAGGAGGGAGGGAAAGAAGGAAAUGGAAGGAAGAAGAGAGGGAGGAAGGAAGAAAAAAAUGGAAGAAAGGAAGGAGAGAGGGAGGGAGGAAGGAAGGAAGGAAGAGAGGGAGGGAAGGAGGG